AUUGAGGAUUUGAUCCUGGUCCAGGAUGAACGCUGGCGGCGUGGAUAAGGCAUGCAAGUCGAACGAAGCAAUUUGCGAUUACAUCAAGAAUUGUUGAGUGGCGAACGAGUUAGUAUUACCUUGGCAUCUACCCCUGAGACGGAAAUAAUCCCGCGAAAGCGGGACUAAUGCCCGAUAGCAUCGUGCCUCACUAUUGUUCAGCACAAAGUCUAAAUUUUAAAUUAUAAAUUUUAAAUCAUUUUUUUAAAAUUUAAAAUUAAAAAUUGAAAAUUUCGUGCCGAGUAGCAGCGAGGCACGAUUAAAGUCGCAAGACACUUAGGGAGGAGCCUCGGUCCUAUCAGCUAGUUGGCGGGGUAAUGGCCCACCAAGGCUAUGACGGGUAGGGGACGUGAGAGCGUGACCCCCAACGACGGAACUGAGAUUAACGAUAGUCUCCUAAGAGAGUAAUCUCUUAGUAAAACGGUCCGUACACCUACGGGUGGCUGCAGUCAAGAACAUUCGACAAUGGGCGAAAGCCUGAUCGAGCGACGCCGCGUGCAGGAUGAAGGCCUUCGGGUCGUAAACUGCUUUUAACUGGGAACAAGUCCGGCCCUUUCGGGAUGGAAUUUUUUGAGUGAAAAUUUUCUUUUUCGAGAGGGCCGGAUUGAGCGUACCAGUGGAAUAAGGAGCUGCAAACUUCGUGCCAGCAGCCGCGGUAAUACGAAGGCUCCAAGCGUUAUCCGGAUUUAUUGGGCGUAAAGGGUCUCCAGGCUGUUUUGUUAGUCCGGCGUUAAAUCUCACCGCUUAACGGGGAGAGUGCGUUGGAUACGGCAAAACUUGAGGCAAGAAGAGGCAUACGGAACUCAUGGGGUAGGGGGGAAAUCCGUUGAUAUCAUGGGGAACACCAAAUGCGAAGGCAGUAUGCUGGUCUUGUCCUGACGCUCAUGAGACGAAAGCGUGGGGAGCGAAUAGGAUUGACACUCGUCCCGGUAUUCAUUUCAUGAUGUGAACUGUUCCCUUAAGUGGGGUAACGAACGCAACCCCCAUCCCAUGUUACAAGUGUCAUGGGAAACUGCCUCCGUUUAGGGGGAGGAAGGUGGGGAUGACGCGAGAUCAGCGUGGCCCUCUGAUACCCUGGGCUACACGCAUGAAACAAUGGAGCCGACAGAGCGUCGCGAAGCCGCAAGGCGGAGCCAAUCGCAUCAAACGGCCCCUCAGUUCAGAUUGGAGUCUGCAACUCGACUCCAUGAAGAAGGAAUCGCUAGUAAACGCGGAUCAGCUAUGCCGCGUUGAAUACGUUCUCGAACUUUGUACUCACCGCCCGUCACGUCAAGAGAGCCGGUAGUAGCCGAAACCCGGGGUCAGCCCGGACUAAGCUAAGAUCGGUGAUAGGGACGAAGUCGUAACAAGGCAUCGGUAGCGGAAGCUGUCGAUGGAACAUUUCUU
rnacentral:rRNA from 1 species